rnacentral:lncRNA from 1 species
UUCCAACCUCGUUUUUGUUUCCUUUCCCUGCUAGCCUGUAGCACAACUAUUUUAGUUGUUUCCCAAACUCCCUUUUCUUGCAUGAUAGGAAAAGACCUAGUUAAAAAUAACUCUUAGCAGUUCAACAAUUUUUAACCUUAAUCUCCCAUAACACAUACAAGUUUAACUCUUUGCUGUCUGCUGCUGCAUUCAGUAUGCCCCAGCCCAAAUUUGGGAAUAGGGAGUGAGAAAUGCUAUGUGCAUGUCACCCAGCAUACUCACAGAGCCCUGCUGGUAAUCAGCAUACUUUUGGGCCAUACCCAGAGGCCAUACCCAGAAUGGGCUUCUUAAGACCAAAUCUGGAUCUAAUUUGGCUGUUCACUUUCUCACAAGACUCGCCCUCUCCACUGCUUCCCACAGACUCAGCUGAAGGUGGUGGGUGGAAGGCGAGUGCAGGAUUUGGAAGAUGUUUCAUCUUCUGAAAAAAGCUUUAUGAAAGAACAAGUAUAUAAAAAGAAAAUCCAAGUGAAACACCAGAAAAACAAGACCGUUCAAAAAGCAAGAAGACAGUUAUGAAGAAGGAAAAUGAGAAGCACUUCUUUUGGGUGACAUGAAAUGCACCUCAGGCUACCAGAAUAAAUGAAUGUGGUGCGCAGCAGACCUCACCACUGCACCAUCCCUGCCAGCAACUGGAGCUGGGACGGGACAGCAGGACAUUGGUGCCCACAGCUCCCUGGUGUGCUGGGACUGCCUCUGGGCACCCUGGUGCUUCUCCUUCUUUGGUGGCGUUCUUAUGUAGUACAUAUGUUUUUUGGUGACUGCAUUAGGAGCUGUGAUUGUGGUAUUGACAGCAGUUUUAACGUUGUCACGUGGGCUGCUUAUUCGUAUUUUUGACAAAUGAAUGAGCAGUAAGUGCAGUUGGAGGUCUUUCAGUGCAAAUUCAUUCACGGUGUGUAGAUGGAUUUGCACAAACCAUUCCUAGUAAUGAUUUAAUUUUUAAUUUUUAUUUUAUUUUGACCCCACAAAGAAAGCAGAUUUCUGGAAAUGUAUGCACAGAGGGCGAAGAUCUGAUUAAAACUAUGAUUCUCUGAAAUGAGAGGAUUCAAUAUAACUUCAAAAUAAUUUGUUCUGAAUACAAAAUUUACUAACAUUAUCGUUUCAACACUAUACUCUUAAUAUGCUAUAUUUUUCUAAUCACACAGAUGCAACUUUUUAAGUCUUAUUUGCUGUGCCCAGUAUUGCAGAAAUAUCCAUCAAAACUUCCAUUUAACAGCAAUAAUGGCACCAUUUUUUAUUAAAACUUCUCUUCGUGAAGCAAAAUAAUCAUUCAUUUCAAAUAUUGAUUUUUAUUUUUGAACAGUCUUGUAAUUCUUCUAAGUUCUGGUUUAAUGUGUAAUAUGAAUAACCAGUGGAUGUUUUGUUUUCACUUCAGUGGUAAAAGUGAUGAAUUCUCAGAUUCAAAAAAAGUACUGGACCUUUGUUUUCAGAUAAGAAAUGUAAACUUCAGCUUUCAGCUCUUUGUUAGAGCUAUAAGGUUAUCUUGUUUUCUUUAGUUAUGAUACGUUAUUAGAAACCUGAAUUCCCACAGUAAAAAUGUUUCAAUCUAAAGAAUUUUUACUACUAAACCUGACAUUUACCUGAUGAAGAAGGCAGAGAUGCUAGGGCUUUGGGAAAGGAGGGGGAAGUACCUAAGUGGUGGAAAAAGCUUAGCAUUUGAGUGCAUGAGGUUUUUUGAUAAUGUACCAUCUGGCAAUAAGAUCAAAAGUCGAGACAAAUACGCUUACCUUACCACAGAAUUUACUAACUAAAUUCAAACAAAAAUCUUAUAAAAUAAGUAAAGAAAAAAUAAAUCCCUGAUAAAGACGAAAAAAAUGAAGAAA